UGGGGAAUUUUGGACAAUGGGGGAAACCCUGAUCCAGCCAUCCCGCGUGUGCGAUGAAGGCCUUCGGGUUGUAAAGCACUUUUGGCAGGAAAAAAACGUCAUGGGUUAAUACCCCGUGAAACUGACGGUACCUGCAGAAUAAGCACCGGCUAACUACGUGCCAGCAGCCGCGGUAAUACGUAGGGUGCAAGCGUUAAUCGGAAUUACUGGGCGUAAAGCGUGCGCAGGCGGUUCGGAAAGAAAGAUGUGAAAUCCCAGAGCUCAACUUUGGAACUGCAUUUUUAACUACCGGGCUAGAGUGUGUCAGAGGGAGGUGGAAUUCCGCGUGUAGCAGUGAAAUGCGUAGAUAUGCGGAGGAACACCGAUGGCGAAGGCAGCCUCCUGGGAUAACACUGACGCUCAUGCACGAAAGCGUGGGGAGCAAACAGG
rnacentral:rRNA from 1 species